AUUGAACGCUGGCGGCAUGCCUUACACAUGCAAGUCGAGCGGUAACAGGGAGCUUGCUCCGCUGACGAGUGGCGAACGGGUGAGUAAUGUAUCGGAACGUACCUUUUAGUGGGGGAUAACGUAGCGAAAGUUACGCUAAUACCGCAUAUUCUCUGAGGAGGAAAGCAGGGGACCUUCGGGCCUUGCGCUAAUAGAGCGGCUGAUAUCAGAUUAGCUAGUUGGUGAGGUAAAGGCUCACCAAGGCGACGAUCUGUAGCGGGUCUGAGAGGAUGAUCCGCCACACUGGAACUGAGACACGGUCCAGACUCCUACGGGAGGCAGCAGUGGGGAAUUUUGGACAAUGGGGGCAACCCUGAUCCAGCCAUGCCGCGUGAGUGAAGAAGGCCUUCGGGUUGUAAAGCUCUUUCGGCCGGGAAAAAAUCGCAUGGGUAAAUACCCUGUGUGGAUGAUGGUACCGGAAUAAGAAGCACCGGCUAACUACGCGCCAGCCGCCGCAGUAA
rnacentral:rRNA from 1 species